rnacentral:rRNA from 1 species
CCUACGGGAGGCAGCAGUGGGGAAUAUUGCACAAUGGGGGAAACCCUGAUGCAGCGACGCCGCGUGAGUGAAGAAGCGCCUCGGCGCGUAAAGCUCUGUCAGCAGGAACGAUAAUGUCGGUACCUGAAGAAGAAGCCCCGGCUAACUACGUGCCAGAAGCCGCGGUAAUACGUAGGGGGCAAGCGUUAUCCGGAUUUACUGGGUGUAAAGGGUGCGCAGGCGGCGUGUCAAGUCAGCGGUAAAAUGUCGGGGCUCAACCCCGGCCGGCCGUUGAAACUGGCGUGCUCGAGUUGGAGAGAAGUAUGCGGAAUUCGUGGUGUAGCGGUGAAAUGCAUAGAUAUCACGAAGAACCCCGAUUGCGAAGGCAGCAUACCGGCUCCACACUGACGCUGAGGCACGAAAGCGUGGGUAUCGAACAGGAUUAGAUACCCGGGUAGUC